GGCCUGGCCUCCGCUCUCAGGGAUCCAUUUCUCCCAGCACCAGAUGACUCAGGGAGACGGGUGGCAGCAGAGGCUCCCAGGAGGACUGUUCCAGAGCUUGCUCCUCUGUCAGUAGUUCCCACCUCAGGGGACCACUGAGGACACCUGCGUUUUCCCAGCAAGGCCAUCUGGUACACUGCACCCUCAUUUAUCUACCUGGCUGUCACAGGAUGACGAGCAGAACCAAUGAGGCUGAAAGAAUUAGAACUAACCAGGAAGCAGACAGGAAUCUCACAUCUGGGCUGGCUCAGGCCCUCACUGCUGCUGUGGCUGGGACCCUGAGUAGCCACCAAGGACCACAUGGAAAGACUGGGCCCCGGCCAGCAGCACUGGGAGAUACAGUGGACCUUUAGGAGGAGGCCCAGGGAGGCCCUCAGGUCACUGGAGGCUUGUCUUUCUUAUGGAUUGAUUCUAUGCACACUUUACCACGCCCGAGACACAUCCUGGCUUCAGCAGACACCACACCAUCGGGCUAGCCAACUUCGAACAUUGAUCCUCUAAAACCGUGACAUAGAUGCUCUGGCUCCCAGGCACAGGAGACACGUUCAGCAGCCACCUGGUUCUCUUCCAGGGGGGUACAGAGUGUCACGAAGUGUGGAUUCACCACAGCACCACCCAGCUGAAAUCUGGCAAGCAAUCUGG